rnacentral:misc_RNA from 1 species
GUAACUUCAAGCAUUGCUUGGUGUUGGGUGCUUGUCUCAUUGUUGACUCACCUUAAAUUGAUUGGCAGCCCGUAAUUUGGCUUGGAAAUGCAGCACAAUUUGCAAUUCAAGCCUAUAUUAUAGGCAACCAGAAAGAAACAUCAACAC